UACGUAGGGGGCGAGCGUUGUCCGGAUUUAUUGGGCGUAAAGAGCUCGUAGGCGGUUCAGUCAGUCGGGUGUGAAAUCUCCGGGCUCAACCCGGAGGGGCCACCCGAUACUGCUGUGACUCGAGUCCGGGUAGGGGAGUGGGGAAUUCCUGGUGUAGCGGUGAAAUGCGCAGAUAUCAGGAGGAACACCGGUGGCGAAGGCGCCACUCUGGGCCGGUACUGACGCUGAGGAGCGAAAGCGUGGGUAGCAAACAGG
rnacentral:rRNA from 1 species